CCGCCAUUUUCUCUCCCUCAGGAUGCUGCUCAGUUGGCGAACGCUGCUGUUCCCCUCACCUUCCCCGCUGUGAUUGCCUCAUGCCGAUACACCUCAGAGCUUGGGGACGGGUAAUUUUCUAACUUAAAGGGAAAAUAACACAAAGUAAGCUUUUCCCGCUUAGGUGGCCGUGCAGGGCAAAGCCCUCGCUGCUCUGCCCACCAGCCCCAGGAGAAGGCGCAGAGCUGGGCUCGCUUAUUUGCUGCAGGACACACUUAAAUCAUCCUCAGCUUUAACUAACACCACAGGCUGCUUGGAAUGCAAAAGAUCUAUGAAAAUAUACCCUCUGGUUGCAGCUGGUGUGGAAAAAGAAGAAAUUAUAAGGGAGGGGAAGCAGAAUUGUAAAGGUUAAGCAAUUUCUCAGGUUCACAAAGCAAGCAGUGGCAGGAUGAGGAAUAAACCCACGGUCUGGUCUCCUGUUCCAGCCACUACACCUUGUGUUCCUCCCCACUCGUGCAAAUUACAGUACUUGUGUUAUGACUAAACAGAUGACAGGUGAAGGAGGUGGCAUUUACAGAAGAAGAAAAAGGAAAAUCACUAAAGGGAAUCACAACUAAAAGGGCAAAACCAGAGAGGUACAAAGAUACAAAGCUUGUGUAAGAUCCAGGUCUGCCUGGGAGGACCUGAGGGAAGGCUGUCACCCCGAAUCACAGUCAGCACUUCAGGAGGAGACAGUGCUGAAGAAUUGGUUUGCACCAGGAUUUUGUGCCACAGCCAAAUAAAUCACCAUGCCUUGUAUGUGCUACUGUUAAAGGUUAUUAAAUCUUGGCAAAGACCUCAGCAAACAA